rnacentral:rRNA from 1 species
UACGUAGGGACCGAGCGUUGUCCGGAAUCAUUGGGCGUAAAGAGCGUGUAGGCGGCCACUUAAGUCCUGCGUGAAAUCUUGCGGCUCAACCGCAAGCGGUCGUGGGAAACUGGGUGGCUAGAGUGCGGGAGAGGAGAGUGGAAUUCCUGGUGUAGUGGUGGAAUGCGCAGAUAUCAGGAAGAACACCCGUGGCGAAGGCGGCUCUCUGGAACGCAACUGACGCUGAGACGCGAAAGCGUGGGGAGCAAACAGG